AAAAUUCAGUUCUAUGGCUUCUACAAAAUCACUAUUCAUCUUCUUCCUUAAACCCCUCUUUUCCCAAACCCUAAUUCUCUCAAGGUUGAGCAAGAAAUAGAAAUAAUAAAUCAAAAUGUGCUAAUCCUCCCAAAUCUCUUCUUAAAUUCUUUAUGGAAGUCGAAGGAAAACCAACAAAUUUCGAUUUACCCUUGCCUCUUUUGCAUACGACUAUGGCGACCAAUCUUUGAAGGCUUUCGAACCUCAGCAACUACUUGAUUCUUCGUUCUUUUCCGCGAGUGAACACAUCAAUAACAUUACUUUGGGGAUCUUCGUUUCCAACAUUUUCCUGUGAAAUCUAGUAAUCAAAAGCACAUUUUGGUAUUUAUCAAUCAUCGCUUCACCUCGGAGACAAUAUCAUCGAGGAACCUUUCUGGUUGAUAGCUGUGCAUCGGGCGCGAGUCCUUGAAGCGACAUUGUCGAUCGGUACUGGCCGGAAACGAAGGGAUAUCAAGGGCAAUUAGAGUAUAUUUGAGUGUUAUUUCGGAUUUGAGUAUGUAUAAAAGUCGUAGUUUGUAUGUUGGGCUUUAGUAUGUGUGUAGUAGAUUUGGUUAUGUAGACUAUUUUAGACUUUUAUAGUUGGUUGUACGAGUAUUUUUGGACUUUGGCUUAGAUGUUUGAACUUAAGAUUAGUUGUUCAGUUAUGUUUUAGAUAUCGUGACCUUUCGAGAGUUGUGAUUUGAGUUUGAACGCUUUGGACAAGUUGACAUGUCUUAUAACGUUGUCAAUUGUUUGAGAUUUGAGUUCUUUGGGUUAGUAAACCCCAUGAUGACCUGCCUUACUUAUUCCACCAGUAAGACAGGUUGUUACAGGUUACCGUGUUUUUUGGGUGUCAAUUUGAUAAUGGUCUUUGUUGAAACAAACACUCCAUGGUCAAAUCCAGUGCUGAAGUUGAAUAUCAGCAAGUCGCUAUUAUGAUUACUAAAUCUUACUAAAUUCAAUUUACAUCUUUAUUUAAAAUAACUACAACGUGGUGAAGUUUGUCUUCUUCAUGUUCUAUCAAGAUAUCAAAUUGUCAAUAUCUUUAAAAAAAAUUAGCGUACUUAUUUGAUGUUUCAAGGGAUAGAUUCAAGUUCAAAACUACAAUAAAAUACAUAAAUUAUGUAAAUAUAUUAUAAUACC